GUAGUUACGUACCCCGGGGUCCGGAAUAGCCACGGGAAACUGUGGGUAAUGCCGGAUAAUAUCCCCGGAUCAAAGGUGUGAUUCCGCCCUGGGAGCGGACUGCGUUGUACUAGCUUGUUGGUAGGGUAAUGGCCUACCAAGGCGAUGAUGCAUAGCGGGUGUGAGAGCAUGACCCGUCUCACUGGGACUGAGACACUGCCCAGACACCUACGGGUGGCUGCAGUCGAGAAUCUUCGGCAAUGCGCGCAAGCGUGACCGAGCGACGCCGUGUGUGGGAUGAAGGCCUUCGGGUUGUAAACCACUGUCGUAGAGGAGGAAGUUGAUUGGGGUUCUCCCCAGUCAUUGACCUAUUCUAGGAGGAAGGACGGGCUAAGUACGUGCCAGCAGCCCGCGGUAAUACGUACCGUCCAAACGUUAUUCGGAAUUACUGGGCUUAAAGGGUACGUAGGCGGUGCUGUUAUUCGGGUGUGAAAUCCCUCGUCUCAACCGAGGAAUUGCCCCCCGAUACUGUAUUGCUU
rnacentral:rRNA from 1 species